AAUACGAUAAUUCCAAAAUUGCUGUUAUUGCUCAUUAAUGUAUUUGGUGUGAUGCUUUAUGCAAUGCUUAGCUACUACAUUUGUCGUUGGCGUGCUUGGCCCCGUAAUUGCUGCUUGCAGCUAUAUUUAUUAUUAUUCUUCUUCUUCCACCCCAAGUCUAUGGUAGCCCAUAGAACCGAUUGCGGGAAAGUUGUAUAAUUUGGCACACUAAUAGAGGACUGUCUGAACAUUAACCGUAGCAAAUUUGAAGUCUCUAACUCAAACUCUCUAGCGCCACCAAUUGUCUAAACUUUCAAAAACUUGAUGCUAAUAACUCUUGAACCAUAAGCCACAAAAUGAAAAUUCUUUUUUCCUGUGAUUCCUUGGCUCAUGCCGAGUCGAAUGGACACCGAAAUUCAAAAAUCGCAAGGCUUAGUUUUUUCGCUAUCGUCAAUUGUUCGUAAAACCUACUUUUUCGAACUCGUCCUAGGCCGUUGCACCGAUUGUCACGAAAAUUGAAUCAGAUAAUCUUCAGACCAUGCUGGCAAAAAGUUAUGGAAUUCAAGUUGAUUUCUCAAACCGUUUCCGAAUAGCUCAUGAACGAAUUGUUCGAAAAGCACGCAAACGUGAACGUGAGGCUAUAUCUCCGCAACGGUUUGGCCUAUUGAGACCAAUCUUGGUGGGUCUUAUAACAACCAUUCCCUGGGACUACCUGCAGUGUUUCGGCGCUGUGCCCCCUAGUGGUCAGGAGAUAUGAAAAAUGCAUGUUUUUGCUCAUAACUUCUGAACGGUUUUGCCAAAAAUCACAAAAGUGGUGUCUUUAGAUUCAGUGCAUCAUUCUGAGUCGAAUGAUACCGAAUUUUCCCAAUUCGGCCAUUUUGGGCGUCGGCCAUUUUGAAUUUAGUUGUAAAUUGCUGUAUCUUAAGAAUGAAGUUCCGUAUCGUUUCGCAAAUAAUUACAAAAAUGUCCGGCUUUAUGCCCUGAAUGUACACAAAAAAAUUGGGGGCAGCGCCACCUUGUGGUCAAUAGUUAUAACGAUUUUUCGAAAAAAUGCUAAUAACUUUUGCAUACAUUAGCCUAUUGUAACAAAACUGAUGUUGAUAGAUUCCUUGGGUCAUGCCGAGAACACCGAUACCCCAUUUGUCAAUUUUGGCAAAAUUUCCUGUCCGCCAUUUUGAUUCAUGUUGAAAACCUACUUUUUCGAACUCCUCCUAGACCGUUGCUCAGAUUUUCACCAAAUUUGAUUUGGAUCAUCUUCAGACCAUGCUGGCAAAAAGUUAUGGAAUUUGUGUCGAUACACGUAACCGUUUUCAAUUAGCGUACCAACCAAUUUGCUGGAAAGAUGCCAAACUGCAUCUGAGGCUGUAUCUCUGCAAAGGUUGGAGAUAUUUACACAAAACUUAAUAUGUGACAUUGUCACAUCACAUUGACCACGCCACAUCAUUUUGGUCACAGCGCCACCUAUUGGUCAAGAGUAAUAAACCAAUCAAUAACCGCUAAUUAUUACAUUUCCAAUAAUGCUAAUAACUUUUGAUUGCAUUAGCCUAUUAUCAUGAAACAUGUCUCAAAAUGUUCCUUGGGACAUGCCGACAACAUACAUACUAAUUAUGUCAUAUUAAGCAAAACUUCCUGUCCGCCAUUUUGAUUCAUGUUGAAAACCUUUUUUUUUAAACUCAUCCUCAACCGUUUGUCUGAUUUUCACCAAAAUUGAAUCAGAUCAUCUUCAGACCGUGCUGACAAAAAGUUAUGGAUUUCGUGUCAAUAGACGAAACCGUUUUUGUACAGCGCUGCUUCAGAUGUCAGGCAUCUUCACAAAAUGAGUCUGAGGCUAUAUCUCUGCAAAGCCCAUUAGUGGUCUUCCAGUGACAUCUAGUGGUCGUAAAUGCAAUUUAUCAUACAACACUGUCUCUUUAACCUUUAUAACUGUUAUAUGUUGUCUUAAUUUCAUUCCAAAGAAGCAUACGCAAUUUAUGUAUAAUUUCACAGUCUAGAUAAUAGUACUGCACUGAUUUUAAAUAACCUAGAUAUGGCUGACAGUAAAAGAAUAGAACAUAAUUACAGACACACACAAACAUGAAAUGUUUAAACUAGUAUAUUAAUACUCAAUAAGCAUGCUUAAACCCACACACAGAUGCACACAUUUUGUUAUAUAUAUAGAUAAUUAAAAUAAAUGAUGGGUGAUAAAACCUAUUGCAAGUCUUCUGUUUUUAUGGGCUUCUAUGUCAUUUUUCAGGUUUCAUUGCAAUCAUAAUCUGGCAUAAUUAUAAACAUUAGAUAUAUCUGUAUGAAUAAAUUGGUAAACUUUGACUCAAUGUGAUCUGAAAUGCUUGAACAGUAAUAUUAAAUAAUAGUAAUAUACAUUUUUUCUAGAUGAAUCCCUCAACAAGCCCAUAAACUGUAAUGUUUUAGUCUUUAGUGAGCUCAUUAGUGGUCUUCCGGUGACAUCUAGUGGUUAUAAUUGCAAUUUUUUAUUCAACACUGGGUUUUGAAGCUUUAUAAAUAUUACAGUGUUCUUUUUUACCUAAUCUCUGUUAAAUUUUGCAUGAUUGUUUAGAAAAAAUACAGAUCUAAUGCAUGUGUGAUUAUAUUACCCCUUUUUUUUUGCAGUUUAAUGCCAUUCACAACAGAAAUCUUUUGUUUUUUAGGCCUGUUUAAAUGUUAUCUAACCAAAGGACAAAAUACAACAUAUUUUUUCAAAGUUAUUGAUCUAGAGAGUCCUGAGAAUAUUACUGCAGUGGUUUGAUCAAGACUGAACAAAAAACCAGGUGACCCAAAACAUUCAAAUUCGUGGACCAAUUUUACGAAAAAGGCUAUAACUCGGGAACAAAAUGAGAUAUCUUCACCAAACUCAGAACUCAUAUGCAUGAACAAAAACUUUAGUCAAAUUAUUAUUUUUUUUCCCAUAUCUGCCACUUGGUGGCGCUACAGGAUGAAAAAAAAUCAAAUGGCUAUAACUAAGCAACCGUUGAUCCAAUCAACUUGAAAAUUGAUAUGGCCCAAUGUGGCACAAGUGCUCUAUGAGGAAUUUCACUUAUCUUAAAAAACAUGGCCGCCAUUGGCCAAACAACUUUAAGCACCUAUUUGACAAGGUUAAUGGAAGUCGAUCGUAACGAAACUCGGUGGGCAUGUUCGACUCAUUGCCCUAAAGGUCUGUAAGUAUUUUGAAAGAAAUUGCCCACAACAUUGUCACCUCCCACAGAACACAACAAAGCGAUUUGAUUACAGCGCCACCUAUUUUCCAAAAAUGAUAAUGCAUCAUUUUACUGGAGUUUUACUGGCUGUUUCAAUUACACUCUUCCAAUAAUUGCUUUUCUUACUCGUUGCAUUUGGUCUGAUGCUCCAUGCCAUGCUUAGCUCCUCGCUGUGGAACCUUUAUUAACGAUUUUCAGCCAUUUCAAUUACAAUCAUGCAAUUAUUAAUUUCAUUAUUCAUUGUUGCAUUUGGUCUGAUGCUACAUAUGCUUAGCUCCUGAUGUUGCCGCUGGAAUGCUUGGCCCCGUGAUUGCUGCUUGCAGCUAUAUUUAGGGGCCAAGCACCGAAGGUGCGAAGGCACCUAUUGUGUUUGUUGGCGUUAUUAUUCUUCUUCUUCUUCCACCCCAAGUCUAUGGUAGCCCAUAGAACCGAUUGCGGGAAAGUUGUAUAAUUUGGCACACUAAUAGAGGACUGUCUGAACAUUAACCGUAGCAAAUUUGAAGUCUCUAACUCAAACUCUCUAGCGCCACCAAUUGUCUAAACUUUCAAAAACUUGAUGCUAAUAACUCUUGAACCGUAAGCCACAAAAUGAAAAUUCUUUUUUCCUGUGAUUCCUUGGCUCAUGCCGAGUCGAAUGGACACCGAAAUUCAAAAAUCGCAAGGCUUAGUUUUUUCGCUAUCGUCAAUUGUUCGUAAAACCUACUUUUUCGAACUCGUCCUAGGCCGUUGCACCGAUUGUCACGAAAAUUGAAUCAGAUAAUCUUCAGACCAUGCUGGCAAAAAGUUAUGGAAUUCAAGUUGAUUUCUCAAACCGUUUCCGAAUAGCUCAUGAACGAAUUCUUCGAAAAGCACGCAAACGUGAACGUGAGGCUAUAUCUCCGCAACGGUUUGGCCUAUUGAGACCAAUCUUGGUGGGUCUUAUAACAACCAUUCCCUGGGACUACCUGCAGUGUUUCGGCGCUGUGCCCCCUAGUGGUCAGGAGAUAUGAAAAAUGCAU